GUCCACGCCCUAAACGAUGCUUACUCGACGUAUGAAGCUAGUCUUUGUGCGUCCAAGGGAAACCGUUAAGUAAGCCACCUGGGGAGUACGACCGCAAGGUUGAAACUCAAAGGAAUUGACGGGGUCGCACAAGCGGUGGAGCAUGUGGUUUAAUUCGAUGAUACGCGAGGAACCUUACCUGGGCUAGAAUGCGAGUGACCGACCGUGAAAGCGGUCUUUCCUUCGGGACACAAAGCAAGGUGCUGCAUGGCUGUCGU
rnacentral:rRNA from 1 species